CCUACGGGACGCAGCAGUAGGGGAUAUUGCACAAUGGGGGGAACCCUGAUGCAGCGACGCCGCGUGAGUGAAGAAGUAAUUCGUUAUGUAAAGCUCUAUCAGCAGGGAAGAAUAAAUGACGGUACCUGAGUAAGAAGCCCCGGCUAACUACGUGCCAGCAGCCGCGGUAAUACGUAGGGGGCAAGCGUUAUCCGGAUUUACUGGGUGUAAAGGGUGCGUAGGUGGCAGGGCAAGUCAGAUGUGAAAGCCCGGGGCUCAACCCCGGUACUGCAUUUGAAACUGUCCAGCUGGAGUGCAGGAGAGGG
rnacentral:rRNA from 1 species